rnacentral:rRNA from 1 species
CUAAAACCAUAGCCCCACAUAACCAUACAUUUCUAUAUACAAAUUAAAGUAUUCUAACGAUCUAGUAAAGAUGAUUAAAAAAUUUAUUGGAGCAACUUCACGUACCGCAAGGGAAACCUGAAAUAGCCUUGAAAUAACCCUCAAGCGAAAAAAAGUAGAGACUUACCCUUGUACCUUUUGCAUCAUGGUUUAACUAGUCCAAUUAAGCAGAAAGACUUAAAGUUUAACACCCCGAGACUAAGUGAGCUACUUCAAGGCCGCUAAAAGAGCAAACCCGUCUCUGUUGCAAAAGAGUGGGAAGACCUUUAAGUAGAGGUGAUAUACCUAUCGAACUUAGUGAUAGCUGGUUACUCGAGAAAAGAAUCUUAGUUCAACCUAGGGGCCACCUUAUGAAAAUAAACAACCAUACACCCCCUAAAGUAAUUCAAAUAAGGUACAGCCUAUUUGAAACAGGAUACAACCUAGACUAACGGGUAAUCCUUAGUGCUAGCAGCCUAGUGGGCCUAAAAGCAGCCACCUCUAAAAUAGCGUCAAACCCUAACUGCCCCCCCCCAACUAAUACCUAAAUUCACAACGAACCCUUUAACAGUAACGAGUAAUUCUAUAUCUUAUAGAAAAUUUUAUGUUAAAACUAGUAACAAGAAGAAAACCUUCUCUCCAAUGUAAGCUUAAGUCAGUAAGGAUCCCCCACUGCCCCCUACACAGCUCUGAACUUUAAGUAACUACACCACAAGAAAACUUUACUUAUAACCCUGUUGACCUAACACAAGAACAUUUCAAGAAAGAUUAAAAGAAAAAGAAGGAACUCGGCAAACACUUAUCCCGCCUGUUUACCAAAAACAUCGCCUCUUGCAAACAUAAGAGGUCCAGCCUGCCCGGUGACAUUAGUUUAACGGUCCGCGGUAUCCUAACCGUGCGAAGGUAGCGUAAUCACUUGUUUCUUAAAUAGAGACUAGUAUGAAAGGCAUCACGAGGGUAAAACUGUCUCCUUUCUCUAAUCAGUUAAACUAAUCUCCCCGUGAAGAAGCGGGGAUAAAUAUAUAAGACGAGAAGACCCUAUGGAGCUUUAAACACAUGGCACCUGUCUCAUUAUUCUCCUCCCAGGACCCUAAACACCUGACAUUUUGACCAAAAGUUUUCGGUUGGGGCGACCACGGAGAAAAACAACCUCCACGAUGUAUAAAAAACUUCUUUAAACCCAAAGCUACUGCUUCAGGAAUCAAUAAAUUGACAUUCAUUGACCCACCUUUGUGAUCAACGAACCAAGUUACCCUAGGGAUAACAGCGCAAUCCACUUUGAGAGCUCAUAUCGACAAGUGGGUUUACGACCUCGAUGUUGGAUCAGGGUAACCUAGUGGUGUAGCCGCUACUAAGAGUUCGUUUGUUCAACGAUUAAACCCCUACGUGAUCUGAGUUCAGACCGGAGUAAUCCAGGUCAGUUUCUAUCUAUAAAAAGAUUUUUCCAGUACGAAAGGACCGAAAAACCGUGGCCUACUAGACACUUGAGCCACCUCCCCAAUUUUUGUUUUAAACUCAAAAAACAUAAACCCACCUCACCUACUCUAGACAAGAGCAG